AUCCUGGCUCAGAUUGAACGCUGGCGGCAGGCCUAACACAUGCAAGUCGAGCGGAUGAGGGUAGCUUGCUAUCUGAUUCAGCGGCGGACGGUGAGUAAUGCCUAGGAAUCUGCCUGGUAGUGGGGGACAACGUUUCGAAAGGAACGCUAAUACCGCAUACGUCCUACGGGAGAAAGUGGGGGAUCUUCGGACCUCACGCUAUCAGAUGAGCCUAGGUACGAUUAGCUAGUUGGUGAGGUAAAGGCUCACCAAGGCGACGAUCGUUAACUGGUCUGAGAGGAUGAUCAGUCACACUGGAACUGAGACACGGUCCAGACUCCUACGGGAGGCAGCAGUGGGGAAUAUUGGACAAUGGGCGAAAGCCUGAUCCAGCCAUGCCGCGUGUGUGAAGAAGGUCUUCGGAUUGUAAAGCACUUUAAGUUGGGAGGAAGGGCAGUAAGUUAAUACCUUGCUGUUUUGACGUUACCGACAGAAUAAGCACCGGCUAACUUCGUG
rnacentral:rRNA from 1 species